rnacentral:rRNA from 1 species
UACGUAGGGUGCGAGCGUUAAUCGGAAUUACUGGGCGUAAAGCGUGCGCAGGCGGUGAUGUAAGACAGGGGUGAAAUCCCCGGGCUUAACCUGGGAACUGCAUUUGUGACUGCAUGGCUAGAGUGCGGCAGAGGGGGAUGGAAUUCCGCGUGUAGCAGUGAAAUGCGUAGAUAUGCGGAGGAACACCGAUGGCGAAGGCAAUCCCCUGGGCCUGCACUGACGCUCAUGCACGAAAGCGUGGGGAGCAAACAGG